rnacentral:rRNA from 1 species
AGUGAACGCUGGCGGUAGGCCUAACACAUGCAAGUCGAACGGCAGCACAGUAAGAGCUUGCUCUUACGGGUGGCGAGUGGCGGACGGGUGAGGAAUACAUCGGAAUCUACUUUUUCGUGGGGGAUAACGUAGGGAAACUUACGCUAAUACCGCAUACGACCUACGGGUGAAAGCAGGGGAUCUUCGGACCUUGCGCGAUUGAAUGAGCCGAUGUCGGAUUAGCUAGUUGGCGGGGUAAAGGCCCACCAAGGCGACGAUCCGUAGCUGGUCUGAGAGGAGGAUCGGCCACCGUGGGAGUGGGAGACCGGCCAGACUGCUACGGGGAGCCGGAGCUGGGAAUUAUGGGAAAUGGGAGGAAGGCAUGUUCCGCCAUACCGGGUAGGUUGAAGAGGCCUUGCGGGUGGAAAGCCCUUUUUUUGGGGAAGGAAAGCUGCCGGUUAAUAACCCGGUGGUUUGACGGUACCCGAAGAAUAAGCAACGGCUAACUUCGUG